rnacentral:rRNA from 1 species
GAUGAACGCUGGCGGCGUGCCUAAUACAUGCAAGUCGAGCGAACAGAUAAGGAGCUUGCUCCUUUGACGUUAGCGGCGGACGGGUGAGUAACACGUGGAUAACCUACCUAUAAGACUGGGAUAACUUCGGGAAACCGCAGCUAAUACCGGAUAACAUAUUGAACCGCAUGGUUCAAUAGUGAAAGGCGGCUUUGCUGUCACUUAUAGAUGGAUCCGCGCCGUAUUAGCUAGUUGGUAAGGUAACGGCUUACCAAGGCAACGAUACGUAGCCGACCUGAGAGGGUGAUCGGCCACACUGGAACUGAGACACGGUCCAGACUCCUACGGGAGGCAGCAGUAGGGAAUCUUCCGCAAUGGGCGAAAGCCUGACGGAGCAACGCCGCGUGAGUGAUGAAGGUCUUCGGAUCGUAAAACUCUGUUAUCAGGGAAGAACAAAUGUGUAAGUAACUGUGCACAUCUUGACGGUACCUGAUCAGAAAGCCACGGCUAACUACGUG